CCUGACCUUUCAAUUCAAAGAGAAAUAAAUCUGUGGUUAAAGGAGCAGAACUAGUUCCUUAAACCUGAUGGCACAUUUAAGUUUGAUUUGUAACUAGUGAGCUGCUGAUAAUCCUCUACUACAGAGUUCAUAUACUGUAAAGUCCUGAGAGACUGCACCUGUAGGGAUUGGAAUCUAAGAAGUUCAGAAAUGCUGGGUCCCCUGACAGCUGAGAGACAAUGGCCUUGAGUGAACUCCUCUCCUGAACAGCUGGAACCCUGAUGGAGUUUCCAGCACUUGGACUUGUAAACAAAGAUCAGUAACUGAAGCAAAAUGAACCAUGAAACCUAAAUUAUCAGAUUCUGCUCAAGAUUAGGGGGCUCCAGGAUGCAAAAGACGGUGAAGAUCCAAAGCCAGGCCAGUGUUCUACACCAACCCCUGCGUGUGGGCCUCGAGGAGCACCACAACUUUCAGCCAUCUCAGAGGUCCAAACUCCACCUCCCACCCUUACCAAGCAACGUGGCCUCCCCACAGCAGAACCACAAGCUGCACACCCAGGCCAAUGUUCUGUUGUUUUAAGACCUCCAAACAAGCUCUCAGUGAUGAUCAGUUCACACAGGGCAUGUUCAACUGCUCUUCUGACUAUCAAGGCUUAACAAAACCCGGAUCCAUGAGAGACACCUUGAAGUACAGCAGGACGGAGCACAGAACCAGCAGGACGAAGCUGAGCGGCCGCAGCAGCUCCCCGCGCUCCUCUUGCUCGCGCAGAUCUGAAAGGUAAAUGCAAAACCUACAGCUAUCCUCCCUCAGACACCUCACAGACUGUACUGGUGCUUCAAA